rnacentral:rRNA from 1 species
ACUCCUACGGGAGGCAGCAGUGGGGAAUAUUGCACAAUGGGCGCAAGCCUGAUGCAGCCAUGCCGCGUGUGUGAAGAAGGCCUUCGGGUUGUAAAGCACUUUCAGUCGUGAGGAAGGUGGUAGUGUUAAUAGCACUAUCAUUUGACGUUAGCGACAGAAGAAGCACCGGCUAACUCCGUGCCAGCAGCCGCGGUAAUACGGAGGGUGCGAGCGUUAAUCGGAAUUACUGGGCGUAAAGCGCAUGCGGGUGGUUUGUUAAGUCAGAUGUGAAAGCCCGGGGCUCAACCUCGGAAUAGCAUUUGAAACUGGCAGACUAGAGUACUGUAGAGGGGGUUAGGAAUUUCAGGUGUAGCGGUGAAAUGCGUAGAGAUCUGAAGGAAUACCGGUGGCGAAGGCGGCCCCUGGACAGAUACUGACACUCAGAUGCGAAAGCGUGGGAGCAAACAGGAUUAGAUACCCCUGGUAGACUGUCA